rnacentral:rRNA from 1 species
AUUGAACGCUGGCGGCAGGCCUAACACAUGCAAGUCGAGCGAGCGGCGGACGGGUGUGUAAUGUAUGGGGAUGUGCCCGAUAGAGGGGGAUAACCACUGGAAACUGGGGCUAAUACCGCAUUCUCUGGGUAGAACCUAUAUGGGUUUAGCUUGUAGGUGGGGUAAAGGCUCACAUAGGAGAAGAGCUCUAGCUGGUCCGAGAGGAUGAUCAGCCAAACUGGGACUGAGACACGGCCCAGACUCCUACGGGAGGCAGCAGUGGGGAAUAUUGCACAAUGGGCGCAAGCCUGAUGCAGCCAUGCCGCGUGUAUGAAGAAGGCCCUAGGGUUGUAAAGUACUUUCAGCGGGGAGGCGUUACCCGCAGAAGAAGCACCGGCUAACUCCGUGCCAGCAGCCGCGGUAAUUC